rnacentral:misc_RNA from 1 species
GAAAAAUAAAUAAAUUCCAAUGGCAACAACAAAAAAUACAGCCAAAUUGUGGUGCAAACCUAUUUUGCACUUAAUAUGCAUGUAUAAAGAUGAAUGUGACUGAGUGCAUGUAUGCCACAAACAUACAUAUUGUAAAAUUACCAUCAAUGUGACAGUUUACUAGGUCAGAGAACAAAGGACAAUCAUUUUGCUGCAAAUUAUCAGAUGCCACAAGCACCUAUCUGGGGGAAAUAAAAUGGAAAAAGAAAAUACCAAAACUACCAAAUAUUAAGUCAGUACAGCGAUGAGUCAGAUCUUAC